rnacentral:SRP_RNA from 1 species
GCCGGGCGUGGUGGCGCACGCCUGUAAUCCCAGCUACUCAGGAGGCUGAGGCAGGAGAAUCGCUUGAACCCGGGAGGUGGAGCUUGCAGUGAGCUGAGAUCAUGCCAUUCCACUCCAGCCUGGGUGACAGGGCAAGACUCUGUCUCAA